ACAAGGCUGGUAAACAGCUCAAUGUCCUCACCCACCGCCACCACCACCAUGUCUCCCCGCAUUCCCGUCAUCUUCCUACUAAUCCUACUCUCAUCCGUCUCGUAUUCUUCUCCCAGUCCGACCAACGGCAGCGACACCGAUCUCGCCGCCCUGCUGGCUUUCAAAGCCCAGCUCGCCGACCCUCUCCGCAUCCUGGCCACCAACUGGACCCCCGGCACCUCCUUCUGCCAUUGGGUCGGUGUCUCAUGCAGCCGGCGCAGACAACGCGUCACUGCUCUGUCGUUGCCGCAUGUACCUCUUGUUGGAUCUAUCGCACCUCACGUCGGUAACCUCUCUUUCCUCUCCAGUCUCAACCUCACCUACACCAAUCUCACUGGCUCCAUCCCAGUUCAACUGGGUAGGCUACACCGUCUUAGACAUCUCGGUCUUAGAGGAAAUAGCCUAUCCAAUGACAUACCUGCCGCCCUAGGGAACCUCACGAGACUCGAGUUACUGAAUCUUGCUUUGAACCAAUUGUCAGGCCAAAUCCCUCCUGAGAUGCUCAUGCAUAUGCACAACCUUAGAGACGUUCAUCUCAUGGGAAAUGACUUGAGUGGCCAAAUACCACCAAAUUUAUUCAACAACACACCUUCAUUGAUGUUCAUCCAUUUUGGAAAUAAUAGUCUAUCAGGUCCUAUACCGCACUCCAUUGCAUCCCUAUCCAAGCUUGAGUACCUGGUACUACAGGUUAAUCAACUGUCGGGAACAGUACCACAAGGCAUGUUCAACAUGUCUAUGCUGCGAUGCAUAUCACUCAUCCAAAACGAUAACCUAACGGGAACGUUUCCAAACAAUCAAAGUUUCAGCCUCCCAAAAUUAGAAUAUUUUGGGUUGGCUCGUAACAACUUUUCCGGUCAGUUUCCAUCAGGGCUUGCAUCAUGCCAAUAUCUACGAGUAAUGUCUUUGUUCGAAAAUUCUUUUGUGGACGUUGUGCCAACAUGGUUAGCCAACUUUUCAAACCUUGAAAUGCUUUAUUUGGAUUUUAAUCACGUUAUUGGGUCGAUCCCGGUGGCCCUAACCAAUCUCACAAAACUUACACUACUAGACCUCGCAUACAACAAUCUAACGGGGGAGAUUCCACCACAAUUAAGUCUUAUGCCAGAACUCUCAUUCUUGCAGCUUGGAGGCAAUCAAUUGACAGGUGAAAUUCCAGCUUCCCUCGGUAACUUAUCCAAAUUGUCUUUCCUAUCUUUGCGGGAAAAUCACUUGUCCGGCCAAGUACCACCAACACUUGGAGAAAAUACAGCUCUGUACUCGCUUGAUUUGUCACACAAUAAUUUAGUGGGAAACCUAGACUUCUUCUCGGACCUUUCCAAGUGCAGACAACUCCAAACACUUGAUCUACAUGGAAAUUCUUUCACAGGCUUCGUCCCUAGAAGUGUUGGAAAUUUCACUUCACGACUAGUCAAUGUCAUUCUAGGUUACAACAAGUUAACAGGUGGAGUUCCGGUAGCAAUUUCAAACAUAAGCAACCUUGAAUGGAUAGACCUUUCUAACAACCUAUUAACCAAGCCAAUCCCAGAAUCUCUAGGUAUGUUGGCAAAUCUUGUGCAGCUUGAUGUAUCUGGCAAUGACAUGUUAGGCCAUUUACCAAUACAGAUGGGUAUGCUCGGGACUCUAGAACGGUUGUUUCUCCAAUCAAAUAAGUUCUUGGGCUCUAUACCAAAUAGCUUUGGUAAUCUUAGUAACUUAGAAUACAUUGACUUGUCUAAGAACCAGUUAAGUUCAGUGAUACCUGCAAGCCUUUUCCACCUAGAUAAACUCAUUCACAUAAAUCUUUCUCACAAUUCUUUUGUUGGUAUACUACCGGUCGAUGUUUCUAGUCUAACUCAAAUAUAUCAAAUAGACCUUUCGUCCAAUCUCUUGUUAGGAAGCAUCCCAGAAUCAUUCGGGGAACUUAAGAUGCUAACUUACCUAAAUCUAUCAUGUAAUGCCUUCAAAGGCUCAAUUCCGGGUCCACUCAAAAAACUAAAAGACUUAGCAUCAUUAGACCUCUCAUAUAACAAUCUAUGUGGUACUAUUCCCAUGUUCCUUGCCAACUUUACCUAUUUGGAAAUUUUGAACCUCUCGUAUAAUAGGCUAGAAGGACCAAUACCUGAGGGAGGUGUUUUCUCAAACCUCUCAUUGCAAUCUCUUAUCGGGAAUGCUGGGCUAUGUGGUGCUCCACGACUGAGAAUUUUACCAUGCCUUGAAAGUUCUCACCCAAAUUAUAGACACUUGUUGAAAUUUGUACUCCCAACACUCACAUUAGCUUUUGGCUCCAUUGCCAUUUACAUGUACAUAUGGUUCAGAAAGAAAAUUAAGAGUGGAGAAGACAAAGCUUAUGUUGAUCCAACUGAUGUAGUAGGCCAUCAAAGAGUCUCAUAUCAUGAACUUGUUCGCGCCACCAAUAGUUUCAGUGAAGAAAAUAUCUUGGGAUCCGGAAGCUUUGGAAAAGUCUUCAAGGGGCAAAUCAGCAGUGGUUUGGUGGUUGCAAUAAAAGUUAUUGACAUGCAGCUAGAGCAUGCCAUCCAAAGUUUCGAUGUGGAGUGUCAGGUGCUUCGUAUGGCGAGACACCGCAACCUGAUAAGGAUACUUAACACAUGUUCCAACCUCGACUUCAGAGCACUAGUGCUUCAAUACAUGCCAAAUGGCAGCUUAGAGAUGCUCCUUCAUGGGUCUGAGAGUACAAGAAUGCGCUUGGGAUUCCUUGAGAGACUAGGCAUCAUGCUCGAUGUGUCGAUGGCCAUGGAUUAUCUACACCAUGAGCACUACGAGCUGGUCUUGCACUGUGAUUUGAAGCCUAGCAAUGUGUUGUUUGACGAGGAGAUGACGGCACAUGUGGCAGACUUUGGCAUUGCAAGGUUGCUUCUAGAUGACAACUCCAUGACAAGUGUGAGCAUGCCUGGAACAGUUGGGUACAUGGCACCAGAGUACGGAUUACUUGGAAAAGCAUCGCGGAAGAGCGACGUUUUCACCUAUGGGAUAAUGCUCCUUGAAGUCUUCACCGGAAGGAGACCGACCGACAGUAUGUUCGGUGCACAACUAACCCUUAGGCAAUGGGUUCAAUGGGCAUUUCCUACAGAUCUUGUCCAGGUUGUUGGUGGUAGCCUGCUAUUGCAAGGCUCCCCUCUUUCUAGCUGUAGCUUGGACGAUGGCUUUCUCGUGUCCGUAUUUGAGCUUGGUUUGCUCUGUUCCAGCGAGUCACCUGAAGAGAGGAUCACGAUGCGUGAUGUGGUCGUGACGCUGAAGAAAAUCAAAGCCGAGUACAUCAAACAGAUAACAACGACGACCUCACGCAGCACACACACUAAUUGAUCUCAUUGUUGUUUGCUACCAUCUCAUCUAUAACUAUGCCUUUUCGGAGGCUUCAUUAGUUGUUUAUAUAUUUGGCAUGUACCGCAAUUCGGGCGUGCAAAAAAGAUUUGCGAUGUAUAGCUAUUUCAGCCUUCGGUAGGUUAGAUGUUAGUUCCAAAUAAAGCACACGAGAUAACAUCAGUAAUCAGGUCAACAAUGGAAGCAUAAUUGGGCAUCAUAAUUGUGAAAAUCUAUACAGAUGCAAUGGCAUGUAUCUUUCUCACAUGGCUUGUGUUGCAUACAGCUCAAGUACAGACAAUGUCAAGUUUCAGCUUGUCCUACCUUAUUGCUCACUA